UGGGGAAUAUUGCACAAUGGGCGGAAGCCUGAUGCAGCAACGCCGCGUGAGUGAUGAAGGCCUUCGGGUUGUAAAGCUCUGUCUUUUGGGACGAUAAUGACGGUACCAAAGGAGGAAGCCACGGCUAACUACGUGCCGGCAGCCGCGGCAAUACGUAGGUGGCAAGCGUUGUCCGGAUUUACUGGGCGUAAAGGAUGCGUAGGCGGAUUUUUAAGUGAGAUGUGAAAUACCCGGGCUUAACUUGGGUGCUGCAUUUCAAACUGGGAAUCUAGAGUGCGGGAGAGGAGAAUGGAAUUCCUAGUGUAGCGGUGAAAUGCGUAGAGAUUAGGAAGAACACCAGUGGCGAAGGCGAUUCUCUGGACCGUAACUGACGCUGAGGCAUGAAAGCGUGGGUAGCAAACAGGAUUAGAUACCCUGGUAGUCCACGCCGUAAACGAUGAGUACUAGGUGUAGGAGGUAUCGACCCCUUCUGUGCCGCAGUUAACACAAUCAAGUACUCCGCCUGGGAAGUACGAUCGCAAGAUUAAAACUCAAAUGAAUUGUCGGGGUC
rnacentral:rRNA from 1 species